rnacentral:pre_miRNA from 1 species
UGGUAUGGGCAUUGUUGCCAAUACAGGAGAACGUGGBUCUUUUUGACAUAAUGCCUAGAACUACCCAUAGCUCCAUCCCAACUCAUAAAUAGGAGGAUAAGACUGAAUUCACGUCCUCCUAUACUGGUAACAAUGCGCAUGCCAA